GUUAGCAUGGCGCAGGCGGUAGCGCUGUUGGUGGUCAACCAGACGGUCUCAGGUUCGAACCCGCCUGGUGUCA